rnacentral:rRNA from 1 species
AAGCGGUGGAGCUAUGUGGUUUAAUUCGACGCAACGCGAAGAACCUUACCAGGGCUUGACAUCCCUCGACCGCGUAUGAAAGUACGUUUCACCUCGGGUGACAGGGAGACAGGUGGUGCAUGGUUGUCGUCAGCUCGUGUCGUGAGAUGUUGGGUUAAGUCCCGCAACGAGCGCAACCCUCGACCUUAGUUGCCAGCAUUCAGUUGGGCAUUCUAAGGUGACUGCCGGCUAAAAGUCGGAGGAAGGUGGGGAUGACGUCAAAUCAUCAUGCCCCUUAUGACCUGGGCUACACACGUGCUACAAUGGGCGGUACAAAGGGUCGCGAACCCGCGAGGGGGAGCCAAUCCCAAAAAGCCGCUCUCAGUUCGGAUUGCAGGCUGCAACUCGCCUGCAUGAAGCCGGAAUCGCUAGUAAUCGCGGAUCAGCAUGCCGCGGUGAAUACGUUCCCGGGCCUU